rnacentral:rRNA from 1 species
UACGUAGGAGGCGAGCGUUGUCCGGAAUCACUGGGCGUAAAGCGCGUGUAGGCGGGAAGGCAAGUCUGCUGUGAAAGCGCCUGGCUUAACCGGGCGAGGUCGGCGGAAACUGCUUACCUGGAGGCCGGUAGAGGGGGGUGGAAUUCCCGGUGUAGUGGUGAAAUGCGCAGAUAUCAGGAGGAACACCAAUAGCGAAGGCAGCUCGCUGGGACGGUAUUGACGCUGAGGCGCGAAAGCGUGGGGAGCAAACAGG